CUGAAAAACGUUUCGUUAGAACAACCAAACCUCUGCCUCCUCCCCUGCUCUCCCAUCGCCCGCAGAAGCCCACCCAAGCCCUCGCUCGCUCGCCGAGAUCCAUGGCGUCCGCAGCGGCUGGGAGAGGACGCGCACGGGAGGAGGAGUUCGGCGAGCUCUUGUGGACCUGCUGUCCAUCGUGCGGGCCAGCAACCGCUGUCGCCGCCAGCAGCAGAAGCAGCAGGAGGCGCGGGCAGAUUUCCCCUUGUGGGGCCGGCGCCGGCCGAGGAAGGCCCUGGCGGCGCCGCCGAACGAGAAGCCCGCGGCCGAUGAAGACAGUAGCGAGGGCGUCGCCAGCCCGGACACCCCGCUCGCCUUCCCCUAGGACGACGAGGCGGCGGCGACGGAGCACGAGGCAAAGGCUAGCGCACAAGACAAGUGGCCGAGGUGGAGCUAUAGGCCACCGAGGUUUCCUAUGUCGUGGGAUGAGGAGGAGGAUGGGGAAUGGGAAGCACCGAAGAUUGACAACCCCAACUCCCCAAUUGUGAAGAGGCACCUGGUUGUGGUGAAUGGAAGAGGCCAUUGAAGCAGAACCCUUCCUACAAAGGCAAGUGGCAUGCGCCCCUGAUUGACAACCCCAGCUACAAGGGAAUCUGGAAGCCCCAAGAUAUCCCCAACCCUGAGUACUUUGAGCUUGACAAGCCUGACUUUGAUCCAAUUGCUGCUAUUGGAAUUGAGAUCUGGACAAUGCAUGAUGGCAUCCUUUAUGGCAAUAUUCUUUUUGCCGAUGAUUAGAAGGUAGCCACCUCUAUCCUGGAGAAUACAUGGAAGCCCAAGUUUGAUGUUGAGAAGGAAAAAAGCAGAUGGCUCAGUGGAUCAUCUAGCCUCCCACUUGGCAAGGUGCAGCAGCCCUCUUCUUGUUUUCUCUUUCCCAAGAGCACAUCAUGGAUUAUCAGCAGGAUUGAGCCGAUGAUCUAGAUUGAGCAGGUCAAAGGAACUUGCCAGCAAUACUCCUCUUUGAUCUGGUGCUAAAGGCGUCCGAUCCAACUCAGGUGGAGGCCAAGGAGGUUCGGCUCUCGGAUAUUGCACAAUAACGCUGGAUGAUACCGACGUGCGGACUGUAAGUUUCAUAUAUUCAGAUUCGGGCCUUUCUUCCUGUUAUUUUGCCGUCAAAGCUGAAAAAGAGUGAUGCUAAUUCGCUAAAGGUCGAUGUGGUCAUGAUGCAUAUCAUGGUUCUCUGACCUUGUAUCAAUUUACUCUGCAUUUACAUGAUAUAUUGCUAGGAAAGAGACACUGGGCUCCAUAUUAUCAUUAUCAUAUAUGCUAGACUAGAGGUGGUGGUCACUGGUGAGGUGAAGUGGCAAUUUAUGCAGUAACAUCCCAACUGUAAACUGACUAUGAUGUACUACCUCUGUUUCAACAGAUUUCAGCAAUAGUGCUUCUAACAGUUGGAGGGUUUACCUUUUAUUUUUGUGUGACUGCAGAAAAUAGAUGAAAUCACUGAACUGAACAUUGCAGAGGAUUUUGAUAACCGACCUUCAAAAAAAGCUUUUAUUUCUUAAAGAUCAACCAAAAAACAAAUUACACAUCUAUAUGUAUUCUCAGUUUUAUCAAUCUCAGUAUCCAAACCACAAAAGUGCACAAGUUUGUUACAAAAUAGGAAUAAGAAACGUACUUAACAAUACACGUUUUUGUUACAAAAAUAGCAAUCAGAAUCCUAAUUUGGUAUGUACAAGAGCCCGAGACAAAGACACGGCUUCCCCUUGCUUUAUUUAGCAAGAUUUUGAAUUCUAAUUAGCUACACACGCCGUGCUGCUACAAAUACAAGCACACGGCUUCCGCUGGCUUGGCUAGCUUUGUACGUCGGCUUUGCGCUACAAGUCGCCUUUCUACGCUGUCUUACAAUAUCACCGUACAGACCGUGCUCCACCUGAGGUACGUCCGAUCUCAUGCCAAGCAAAAUAUGGUUCUGUCAUUUUGAAAAAGGCAUGAACUUUCCUUUGUGUCUGCAACCAUAGGUUCCAUCAUCAUUACCUUGCCUGUAUAUGGACAGCUUGCACUCUUUAGGACUGAUAGAUGUGAAAUUAUUAGAUCUUUGCAUCAAAUACAGGAACAACACAAUGUAAGAUAUGCAAGUUUAUCGAGAGGAAUGCAAAGAAAAAAAAACACAUGUAUGGUUUAUUUGGCAUCACCAACUUUUGUGUUUUCAGUGCACAUCUUAGCCUAUGUAAACUGCAAGUUGAAUAAAGUGUGCUCACUUUUUCUACAAUACUUUCUUUAAUAAAUGUAGAACAUAAAAGCCUGAUCUUAAUAAGCGAGAGCUCAAGUUAUUCUUUCAAGAUAGAUUCAGAUCAAACCUUUUCAAAGUAAAGAUCCCUCAGCCAGAGACUUAAGCUUUAGCAGAAAAACUUGAUUGACUGGAAUCAACGAAAUUUCGAUGCCACCAACUGCAACAAGUGGCAGCAUGAAGUAGCUAUGAGCAAUAUUUAUAGGGUACUACUAGCAACCGCCAAGCAAUCUGUCACAGAAACAUGUCAGGCAGCUAGGCAUGCGAGUGACAUGUGUGUCGGUAACAUUGGAUGUUUGUUUGUAAAUGUAAAUCACGAAAAAUGGUUCUUGGUAUCUAGAGAAGAAAUACACACACACACACACGAGAGAGUAAUUCACAUAGUGGAUAUAAAAUACCUAUUAAUGUUGUACGUGAGUUGACUCGACAUGCUGCAGGAUCUUAUGAUUUGUUCUCUGAAGGUGGCCUCGGAGUAUAACGUUGCAUAUUCCUGAAGCAAUUGUGAUGCUCCGUUUUGUUAGGAUUAAGAUGCUUGAACAUGUUGGAGCAUAAGAAAGGAGGGGUUGCCAAGUUGAACGUGAAGGACAAGCUUCCAGACGGCGGCUGCUCGUCCACCAACCGCGCGCCUUGGUUGGAGCCUGCGGGAGGAGGGGUGGGAAGGAACAGGGAGGAAGCAGGAGCCGCCCAAGGUCCCGUUCAUACGGCGGCGCAGGCAGAAGACAUGACGGUGCGGCCACCGGAAGCACUAUUUUUCCUACCCUUGUCCUCCGAGAACGACGGGGACAAGGGAGGCGGCGGCGGCGGCGCUGUCCAGCAGUGGGGAAGGAGAACGGGGAAUGGGAAGAAAGAUUGAGUUCGUGCGUGUUGUGUGUGCGUGCGUGCGUGUGAAUAAAAGUAUUUCAAUUGGCCAAGCCCAAAAAACAGUGCAAAAUAAAUUACAAAUUAAAUAUAAUAUUCCAAAAAAUGUUUGUCACCAUAAAAAUGAUUCCAUUCUAAAAAACAGUAUCAAUUUCUUUUAAAAACACAUUCCCAAAUUAUUAAAUAUUCAUGUUUUUCUGUACAACAAUAAAUAAAAUUGAUUGAAAGACUAUUCCAUGCACAACUACUGUUUCAUCGGAGAGGUGAAAUAGGUCAUGCCGAACAUUUUUAGGGUACGUCCAAAUUUCAUGGUCCAAAAAGAAAUACUUAGUGUAACCUUAUUUUUGACGUUUGUAAAAAUUGAAUUAAAAAGUGGUGCAUAAUGUUAUAUUUUAUAUUUGCCCGGUGCAAUGCACGGGCAUUUGUACUAGUGAUAUACAUAAUUUUAGAGUGAUG